CCUACGGGUGGCAGCAGUGGGGGAUAUUGCACAAUGGGGGGAACCCUGAUGCAGCGACGCCGCGUGGGUGAAGAAGCGCCUCGGCGCGUAAAGCCCUGUCUGCAGGGAAGAAAAUGACGGUACCUGACGGAUCCUCCCCGUCUACAUACGUUCCAGCAGCCGCGGUACUACGUAGGGGGCAAGCGUUAUCCGGAUUUACUGGGUGUAAAGGGGGCGCAGACGGCGAUGCAAGCCAGGAGGGAAAGCCCGGGGCCCCACCCCGGGACUGCGCUUGGAACUGCGUGGCUGGAGUGCAGGAGGGGCAGGCGGAAUUCCUGGUGUAGCGGUGAAAUGCGUAGAUAUCAGGAGGAACACCGGUGGCGAAGGCGGCCUGCUGGACUGCAACUGACGUUGAGGCCCGAAAGCGUGGGGAGCAAACAGGAUUAGAUACCCGAGUAGUC
rnacentral:rRNA from 1 species